GAACUACUCCCUCCGUUCGGAAUUACUUGUCGUGAAAAUGGAUGUAUCUAAAUGUAUUUUAGUUCUAGAUACAUCCAUUUCCGAGACAAGUAAUUCCGAAUGGAGGGAGUAAUAA
rnacentral:pre_miRNA from 1 species